GAUGAACGCUGGCGGCGUGCCUAAUACAUGCAAGUCGAGCGAACAGACGAGGAGCUUGCUCCUCGGACGUUAGCGGCGGACGGGUGAGUAACACGUGGAUAACCUACCUAUAAGACUGGGAUAACUUCGGGAAACCGGAGCUAAUACCGGAUAAUAUAUUGAACCGCAUGGGUCAAUGGUGAAAGACGGCUGUGCUGUCACUAAUAGAUGGAUCCGCGCCGCAUUAGCUAGUUGGUAAGGUAACGGCUUAUCAAGGCAACGAUGCGUAGCCGACCGGAGAGGGUGGUCGCCCACCUUGGAACUGAGACACGGUCCAUACUCCUACGGUAGGCAGCAGUAGGGAAUCUUCCGCAAUGGGCGAAAGCCUGACGGAGCAACGCCGCGUGAGUGAUGAAGGUCUUCGGAUCGUAAAACUCUGUUAUUAGGGAAGAACAAAUGUGUAAGUAACUAUGCACGUCUUGACGGUACCUAAUCAGAAAGCCACGGCUAACUACGUG
rnacentral:rRNA from 1 species